rnacentral:tRNA from 1 species
GGCCCGUUAGCUCAGUCGGUAGAGCAGCUGACUUUUAAUCAGUGGGUCGGGGGAUCGUGCCCCUCACGGGCCACCA